rfam:Triticum aestivum genome assembly, contig: Triticum_aestivum_CS42_TGACv1_scaffold_374761_5AL
CCCAUCGGUGAGGAUGAGUUGAUCUCGUUCAUUAUUGUUGGUCUUGAUAUGGACUAUCAACCCCUUAUUUCGAGCCUUGAUGUGCGCAUAGAAUCUCUUUCCAUAGAUGACCUCUUUGGCAUGGUAGCCGACUUCGAUC